AUGCUCGAUCUCAUCGGUAACUCCCAAAUCACCUUCUUUGGCAAAUUACCAGCAAACUCUUAAAGACCCAAAUCACCUUCUUUGGCAAAUCACCAGCAAAUUCUUAAAGAAAAUUCCCAAAUCAUCUCAUUGCUGUUGGAAUGGGUUCGUUUUUAUUUUUUUUGUCUUUUACCUCAAUGAGUUUCCUUUAUUAAAUCCAAAGCUGGAAUCGACAAUCAUAGCAACCCAGCAAACUCUUAAACCCAUGUCCUAAAUUCCCAAAUCCCUAAAUUCAUUUGUUAACCAAAAAUCCCCAAUCUCGAUUGGUAACCCAAAACUCCCAAAUCCUCAAAGUUCCAAACUCCAUUUGUUUCGCUCGAAGGAUUUGAAGAACAGCGAUUACAGGUGAAAAAAAAUAUUUCAAUCGCGAGAAAGUUUUGACCCAAAAAGCAAUCAGUGAGAAAUCAACUUCAGGUACACAUUCGAAUCCUUGGAAUGGAAGUGAAUGAAAUGAUUCUUGUAACCUUAGAGCUGAUGUGUAAAUGCUAAAUGAAGUUUGAUCCUCAAUUGUUUAAGCUUCAGUUUUCGUUUUAAGUCCGAUAUUUUGUUAGUAGUUUAGUAUUUUAGGAUCUUCUUAGUUUGUUGAUUUCGUUUAAGUAUUUCUGAUUUGCAUGAUAGUCAACAAUUUAUUUUAGUUGGGAAUCCUACAUAUGAGUGCUUAAGUUAGUUUGUCUUCUCAUGUAUUGUUCAUGAUAACUCUAUUUAGAUGUUUCAUUAGAGGAUAUUGGUUAGUAUCUCAUCCAUGUUUGAAAGAUGCAAUGUGUAGCUACUAACUCACUUCAGUUGAAUACCUUUAGAUUUCAACAUUGUUAAAUAGAUCAUAUAUUUGAUGUCAA